rnacentral:rRNA from 1 species
UACGAAGGGAGCGAGCGUUGUUCGGAAUCACUGGGCUUAAAGCGUGCGUAGGUGGAUUGGUAAGUAAGGAGUGAAAUCCCAGGGCCUAACCCUGGAACUGCUCUUUAGACUGCCUGUCUGGAAUUCGGAAGAGGUUGGUGGAACUCCCAGUGUAGAGGUGAAAUUCGCAGAUAUUGGGAAGAACACCGGUGGCGAAGGCGACCAACUGGUCCGACAUUGACACUGAGGCACGAAAGCGUGGGUAGCAAACAGG